rnacentral:rRNA from 1 species
AUGCCACGGGAGCCGGUUGAGGAUGUAGAUGGUCGUCAGCACCGCCUCUCCCUAGAAAACAGCCGGCAUCCCUCGCUGCUUGAGGAGAGCCCGAGCCAUCCCCACAACCGUCUGGUUGCGCCGCUCGACGACUCCGUUUUGCUACGGGCUGUACGACGCGGAGUAGUGGCGCUGGAUGCCCUCAUCGGCGCAGUACGGCGCGAAUUUAGCCGCCGUGAAUUUGCCGCCGUUCAAGGACUCGAUCGACCGAGCCAUCUACUUGUACUUCUCAGGGAUGCACCGAAAGAGCUUCUCGACAGCUCUCUCCUCGGUGUAGGUGGCAUUACCAAACUUCACCAACUUCUGCAGCAGAGUGUUGAGACGGAGAGCAAAGUCAUCAACGUCCUCACCUGGCUUGAAAGCCAGGCUCUCCCACUCCUUACGAACUCCGCUGCAGCCAGCCUCGACAUCCUUGCUGCCGCCGCAGCUGCUGCUACAGCUGCUCGCUCACGCUCCUCUGCCACGGCGCAUGCUAGUCUAAGAUGCUAUCCUAACUGCCAGUCCUUGAUGGUCAGGAACUCUAUCCUAACUGCCACAAGGACCAUGUGCCGCAGCCCCACAAGGACCAGCAGCCCCACAAGGACUAUGUGCUGCAGCCCCACAAAGACCCUAGUACACAGACUUAUCCAACAAGCUGCGGAGGUUCUCCGCCUUCGAAUGAAAGGCAAGCAUGAAGAAGCUGACCAGCUUUCGGUAAGUGCUGUGCUGCUGCUGCUGCAUACUAUAAAGCAUGCUAUAGCUGCUGAAAGCAGGAAAGGAGAAGAAAAUGCUGACCUGCAUGCUACAAAUAUAAUUAUUCAGAACAAACAUUACGACAUGUCUAGAUGCGUCGAGGAUGAGUACGAAGAUCUGGGUGAUGCUCCCAGAAGCAAGAGUAGAGAUGCGCGUGUGGAGAAGAAGAGCACCCAUAGGCACAUCUUAACCCAGAAAGAGCGCUGUUUGUACUGUUUCGAGAACCCAUCCAGGUUGGUUGUUGCUGUAGGAAACUUCACUUACCUGAUGCUGCCUCAGUUUGACCCUGUUGUUCGAGGGCACUGUCUUAUUCUUCCAUUGCAGCAUGAGCCUGCAACUAGAGCAACUGACAGCGGUGCUUGGGAGGAGAUUCCCAACUUCAAAAAGUGCCUCCUGAAGAUGUUCUUGCAGCAGGGCAAGGAUGUGAUCUUCUUGGAGACCGUUGUAGGCUUGGCCAAGCAACGGAGACAUUGCAUGAUCGAAUGCAUCCCUGUCCCCUGCGAAGUUUCACACAAAGCGCCCAUGUACUUCAAAAAGGCGAUCGAUGAAGCCGAAGAAGAAUGGUCCCAGCAUGAGGCGAAAAAGCUCAUCCGGACGAGCGGUGACCUGAGGCAAGUCAUCCCGGAGAACUUCGCCUACUUCCAUGUGGAGUUUGGGCUGGACCGUGGGUUUGUCCACGUGAUAGACGACGAGGGCAAAUUCAGUGCUGGUUUUGGACUGGAUGUCAUCAGAGGUGUGCUCCGCUUGCCAGCGCAGGGCAUGGACCGACGUCCAAGACAUGUGCCCAUGGAUGAUCAGAAGAAAGCCAUCGCCGGCUUCGUGAAGGACUGGGGGCCUUUCGACUGGACAAAGCAACUCGACUAG